rnacentral:misc_RNA from 1 species
AACUUUUAACAAUGGAUCUCUUGGUUCUGGCAUCGAUGAAGAACGCAGCGAAAUGCGAUAAGUAGUGUGAAUUGCAGAAUUCGGUGCAUCAUCGAAUUUUUGAACGCACAUUGCGCCUAUUGGUAUUCCAAUAGGCAUGCCUGUUCGAGCGUCAUUUUAACCUUCAAGCCUUGCUUGGUGUUGGGCGCUGUCUCCGCUGUAUAAUAAAAAUUCAGUAGACUCGCCUUGAAUGCAUUGGCAGCCAGCAAUUGGGUGUUGGAGCGCAGCACAUUUCGCGUUCUUAGCCAUGAUUGUUAGCGUCCAAAAAGCUUAUUUCCACUUUUGACCUCGGAUCAGGUAGGGAUACCCGCUGAACUUAAGCAUAUCAAUAAGCGGAGGCC